rnacentral:rRNA from 1 species
ACUCAAAUGAAUUGACGGGGUCUCGCACAAGCGGUGGAGCGUGUUGUUUAAUUCGAUGGUAAGCGAAGAACCUUACCAGGGUUUGACAUCUCGGGAAUUUUUCUGAAAGGAAAAAGUGCCUUCGGGAGCCCGAUGACAGGUGCUGCAUGGCCGUCGUCAGCUCGUGUCGUGAGAUGUAUGGUUAAGUCCAUCAACGAGCGCAACCCUUAUGGUUAGUUGAAUUUCUCUAGCCAGACUGCCCCGGCAACGGGGAGGAAGGAGGGGAUGAUGUCAGGUCAGUAUUGCCCUUACACCCUGGGCGACAAACACGCUACAAUGGCCGGUACAAAGGGCAGCCAACCCGCGAGGGGGAGCAAAUCCCAUCAAAGCCGGUCUCAGUUCGGAUUGCAGGCUGAAACUCGCCUGCAUGAAGCUGGAAUCGCUAGUAACGGUAAGUCAGCACAUUACCGUGAAUACGUUCCCGAGACUUGUACACACCGCCCGU